rnacentral:rRNA from 1 species
UACGGAGGAUCCGAGCGUUAUCCGGAUUUAUUGGGUUUUAAAGGGUGCGUAGGCGGACGCUUAAGUCAGCGGUAAAAUUUGCGGGGCUCAACCUCGUCGAGCCGUUGAAACUGGGUGUCUUGAGUUGGGCGAGAAGUACGCGGAAUGCGUGGUGUAGCGGUGAAAUGCAUAGAUAUCACGCAGAACUCCGAUUGCGAAGGCAGCGUACCGGCGCCCAACUGACGCUGAGGCGCGAAAGCGUGGGUAGCAAACAGG